rnacentral:snRNA from 1 species
AUCGCUUCUCGGCCUUUUGGCUAAGAUCAUGUGUAGUAUCUGUUCUUAUCAGUUUAAUAUCUGAUACGUCCUCUAUCCAAUCCCAAAGAAGGGCAAUGCCAAAGAAUUUUCAAAUUAUCAUUCAGUUGCACUGAUU